UUCUUGGAAUGUAGGAAGCUGCCGCGAUCGGCUGUUGUCUCUCCGUUCCUUCUGCGCCUCAGACUGUGGCGGGUCUGGCCAAGGUCAUGGAAGGUUCUCUCACCUGCUUCUGUCUCUCUUCGCGCAGAUGCCCCUCUCCUGUAGCUAAUAAUUCACGCGAGGGGAUAAAAAAAAUCUGAGGGGGAAUUCGACUCCUCUGGAUCCUCCCACUCACUUCCUUUUCCCAUCUCUAAUGUCCCAGCCCUGCUAAACCAGUGGGCUGGCCCCAUGGUUCGGUUUCUGUUAGGUUCUGGGGAAGAUUGUAGUCCCUUUCUCGCGUGUUCAUGUAGUUUGAUUGUACUUAAGUGCUCUUUUCAUUUAUUCUUUGACUUGGUUCGUUAUUUUUAUCUUUUUGAGAUGGAUUCUCAGUAUGUAACCCCUGGCUGGCCUGAAAUGACUGUGUAAAGCAGGCUGGCUUCAAACUCAAAAGAAAUCAAGCCUCCACUUCCGGAGUGCUGGAAUCAAAGGCCGUGCCACUGAUAAGGUUGGGAACAGUCUUUUGUUUGCUUGUUUGUUUGUCUUGAGACAGGGUUUCUUUGUAUAGCCCUGGCUGUCCUGGAACUCACUUUGUAGACCAGGCUGGCCUCAAACUCAGACAUCUGUCUGCCUCUGCCUCCCAAGUGCUGGGAUUAAAGACGUGUGCCACCAUACCCGGCUGUGGGAACAGUCUUUUAUGUUUUUAUAAACGUUUGGCUAUCCAAUUUGUAGAGCGUUUCCAAGCCGCAUGUGAUGGCUGGAACCUGUAAGCCCUCCUAGGAUGCGGAGAGAGAUUAUUCAUCCUUGGCUCCGAAGCAAGUUGAAGGCUCACCUGACUGCAUGAGACCAUAUCUAAGUUACAAAACAAACAAAACAAAUUACUAUUCCAAA
rnacentral:lncRNA from 1 species